CGGSRKKSCCUUAAMMMAUGCAAGUCGACGAAGGCUUCGGCCUUAGUGGCGCACGGGUGCGUAACGCGUGGGAAUCUGCCCCUUGGUUCGGAAUAACAGUUGGAAACGACUGCUAAUACCGGAUGAUGACGUAAGUCCAAAGAUUUAUCGCCGAGGGAUGAGCCCGCGUAGGAUUAGGUAGUUGGUGUGGUAAAGGCGCACCAAGCCGACGAUCCUUAGCUGGUCUGAGAGGAUGAUCAGCCACACUGGGACUGAGACACGGCCCAGACUCCUACGGGAGGCAGCAGUGGGGAAUAUUGGACAAUGGGCGAAAGCCUGAUCCAGCAAUGCCGCGUGAGUGAUGAAGGCCUUAGGGUUGUAAAGCUCUUUUACCCGGGAUGAUAAUGACAGUACCGGGAGAAUAAGCUCCGGCUAACUCCGUGCCAGCCGCCGCGGUAAUACAA
rnacentral:rRNA from 1 species